ensembl:lncRNA
GGAUUGGGGGGGGAGGGGCCAAGGAGUCAAGAAUAGAGGUCUCUUUCUGGGAUGAUACUGUCAGCGGCUGGGCGGAGGACCCUGGGAGCCUCUCUGUCUCCGUCUCUCUUCGGCUGUGACUUUUUCUGGCUCUGUUCCGGUACAUCAGAACGGAACCAACCAUUUGGGGUCUGAAUCACUCUGUUAAACCGACUAGAGUCCUCUAGCCCAGACAGGAGACCCAGUAGAAACAAAAGGUUAUGGACCCCCCAAUUGGCAGGAAAAGCAGACGAGAAGGCUGAUGGAUUAAAUAAAACAUCCCAGGGUGUCACAGCUCCCUGAAGGUUCCGUCUUUAGGCCUCAGUUCCCUCCUGUGUAAAUGAAGGUGACAGCCUAGACGUACACUGGUGAUUCUCAAGCUUUAGAUGGCAUCGAUAUCACCGGAAAAAAAAAAAAAAUUAAAAACUGCUGGCCCUACCCCAAGAGUUUCUGACUUAGCUCCUGUGUCUGCCCCAUCAAGCCCUGAGGAGUCUGGAGCCACAUAUGAGAGGGGCUGAUGUUUUUACACUCGAGCUUGUACCCCCUGUCAUCAGUGCAGAAUAAAUCUUUCACUGGCCAAUAGGGACUGAGGCCCCUGCCCACUGAAGGAUCCCAGUCCUCUCACUACACAUAUUCCAGUCUGAAUUAACCCCAGCUGGCUGGCUGUAGGGCCUGAAUCUCCAGCAGUGGCUAACACUGCUUUCCCUUUGUACCAAGCAGGGCUGGGCCUAAUCCUACUUAAAUGUCAAGCAGGCCUAUUGUGUACAGGGCUGCCGUCAGAAGGGCUGGCAAGAGCCCAGGGUACAUCUUCAGGCCCCUCGAUGUAGCCUAGUGUCUGCCAAACACUUGGUCCGCCACACACCCGCGCACACGCACACGCUCCGUCACACGCAGAGCUGGGUCGUCAGGAGAGCUAGUUUUACUUUGAUGUACCUCUCCGCUGCACAUUUGUUUCAGCUCCCCUCCUGGAGCCACAGCCUUAUUUAUCUUCUUGGCAUGGGUUCUUAGAAUACUUCCAUUCAGGCAGCAGCAAAAUCACUCAGCUCCACUGUUUUACGAAGUUUAUCAAACAGCAAAAUAUCCGGUCUCUUUGUCCAAUGGAUCUGGUGUGAAUGUGCCUACAGAACUGCCUUUCCCAGACGCCCUGGGGUCUGUGUGUGGUUAUAUAUAUCCUCCCCUGAGAGGACCCCACAAAAUUCAGGGCCUGCCUACUCAUGCUGCAAGGGGCCCCCCAAAGCAGCUGCAGGGCUCAGAGGCAUCUUCCUGAAUCAGGAGACCCAGCCACAUAUACUCCGCACAUGCAUGGGCUACACUCAUACUCCACCAGCAGAGCCUCAGAAGCCCACAGCAGACUAACAGCCCUGCGCCCCACCC